GAUGAACGCUAGCGGCAGGCCUAAUACAUGCAAGUCGAACGGGCGAUGGUCUUCGGGCCAUUGCUAGUGGCGCACGGGUGCGUAACGCGUACACAACAUGCCCUUUACUGGGGGAUAGCGGCGGGAAACUGCCAGUAAUACCCCAUGCCCUCGCGGGGCGGCAUUGUCCUGCGAGGAAAGUUACGGCGGUAAAGGAUUGGUGUGCGUCCGAUUAGCUAGUUGGCGGGGUAACGGCCCACCAAGGCGACGAUCGGUAGGGGGUGUGAGAGCAUGGCCCCCCACACGGGUACUGAGACACGGACCCGACUCCUACGGGAGGCAGCAGUAAGGAAUAUUGGACAAUGGUCGGAAGACUGAUCCAGCCAUGCCGCGUGAAGGAAGAAGGCGCUCAGCGUUGUAAACUUCUUUUGGACGGGAAUAAUAACCUCCACGAGUUGGGGGCUUGAAGGUACCGUCAGAAUAAGCACCGGCUAACUCCGUG
rnacentral:rRNA from 1 species